UUAUGGCUCAGGAUGAACGCUAGCUACAGGCUUAACACAUGCAAGUCGAGGGGCAGCAUUGGGAUAGCUUGCUAUUCAGAUGGCGACCGGCGCACGGGUGAGUAACGCGUAUCCAACCUUCCUGCCAGUAGGGAACAGCCCGGCGAAAGUCGGAUUAAUGCCCUAUGUUCUUCAAUGCGGACAUCUAAGUUGAAGGAAAGAUUCAUCGCUGGCAGAUGGGGAUGCGUCCGAUUAGCUUGCCGGCGGGGUAACGGCCCACCGGGGCGACGAUCGGUAGGGGUUCUGAGAGGAAGGUCCCCCACACUGGUACUGAGACACGGACCAGACUCCUACGGGAGGCAGCAGUGAGGAAUAUUGGUCAAUGGGCGUAAGCCUGAACCAGCCAAGUAGCGUGCAAGGAUGACGGCCCUACGGGUUGUAAACUGCUUUUAUGCGGGGAUAAAGUGCGGCACGUGUGCCGCUUUGCAGGUACCGCAUGAAUAAGGACCGGCUAAUUCCGUGCCAGCCGCCGC
rnacentral:rRNA from 1 species